rnacentral:rRNA from 1 species
CGUCUAGGCGGUUGUGCAAGUCCUCUGUGAAAGCCCCCUGCUUAACGGGGGGAGGCCAGAGGAAACUGCACGACUAGAGGAUCGGAGGGGGAAGCGGUACUACCAGAGGAGCGGUGAAAUGCGUAGAGACUGGUAGGAACCUCGAUAGCGAAGGCAGCUUCCUGGCCGAUUCCUGACGCUGAAGCGCGAAAGCGUGGGGAGCAAACC